AUACCUUUCUCAGCCUUUUGGCUGUGAACAAGUGUAGUAUCUGUUCAUAUCAGUUAAAAAUCUGAUACGAGGCUCAUCGAGCUGCAUGAUAUUAAUCUAAUUUUUCUCGGGUGCAGGUCCAUCCGGCAGCUAGCUGACCGGGCCGGGGCGCGUUGCCUUGGUAUUGCACUACCUCCUUGGCAGGCGUAGCCCUC
rfam:Physcomitrella patens subsp. patens PHYPAscaffold_40 genomic scaffold, whole genome shotgun sequence.